UACGAAGGGGGCGAGCGUUGUUCGGAGUUACUGGGCGUAAAGGGCGCGUAGGCGGCGAUCCAAGUUAGGCGUGAAAGCCCCGGGCUUAACCUGGGAAUUGCGCUUAAGACUGGACUGCUUGAGUGCGGGAGAGGUGAGUGGAAUUCCCAGUGUAGAGGUGAAAUUCGUAGAUAUUGGGAAGAACACCAGUGGCGAAGGCGGCUCACUGGUCGACUGUUGACGCUGAGGUGCGAAAGCGUGGGGAGCAAACAGG
rnacentral:rRNA from 1 species